rnacentral:misc_RNA from 1 species
UCUCCGUAGGUGAACCUGCGGAGGGAUCAUUACAAGUGACCCCGGUCUAACCACCGGGAUGUUCAUAACCCUUUGUUGUCCGACUCUGUUGCCUCCGGGGCGACCCUGCCUUCGGGCGUGGGCUCCGGGUGGACACUUCAAACUCUUGCGUAACUUUGCAGUCUGAGUAAACUUAAUUAAUAAAUUAAAACUUUUAACAACGGAUCUCUUGGUUCUG